UACGAAGGGGGCUAGCGUUGUUCGGAAUUACUGGGCGUAAAGCGUAUGCAGGCGGACUUUUAAGUCGGGGGUGAAAUCCCGAGGCUCAACCUCGGAACUGCCUUCGAUACUGGAAGUCUUGAGUCCGGGAGAGGUGAGUGGAACUCCGAGUGUAGAGGUGAAAUUCGUAGAUAUUCGGAAGAACACCAGUGGCGAAGGCGGCUCACUGGCCCGGUACUGACGCUGAGAUGCGAAAGCGUGGGGAGCAAACAGG
rnacentral:rRNA from 1 species